rnacentral:misc_RNA from 1 species
UUAUGGUCUUGAAAGAGUUUGGGCCGUGGGACACAUGAAAGGCUCCCGCCGGUAAGUGUCUUGCAGAUGGCUACUACUAAAAUUACCACAUUAUUGGUGUUUUUAUUAUUGGUGGUGGUGUUGUCAUUUUAUUAUUAUUUUGAUCCUCUUAUUGUUGUUAUUCCCUUGGCUCUCUUGUCGCUUUCUAAAUCUCUUAAUUAUAGUUACUCCUCUAGUAAUAGUUAUUAUUUUUUUGUUUUUAUUAUUUUUGUUAUUCCCUCCAUCUCUUUUUUUGUACUUGAUAAAUUCCUUAGUUACAUUAAGUAUUCCUUUUUUUGGGCUUCCCUAUGGCCAAAAUCUUUUCUAUGGCUGAAAUUUCAAAGAUUGAUCGAUGCUGUUGAGUUUCCCAUUCUCAUUUUUGUUACAACUUACAAGCAAAGUACUAAAAUGUUGUUAGGAAACAAAAUACUCCAUUGAGGCAAAGCUGGAACACUAAAGUAAAUUGGUUUUCAAAAGUGUAUUAAUUGCUGUGUGGGAUACUUUGUGGACUGGUUUACCCUUUUUUAGUUGCUGUUGUUUUAUCUUAAGUUGGAAAUUCUAGGAUAAAUUUCUAAUAUUAGAGACUUGUUAUAGUGGUCCAGAGUGAUCCAUGUGGUCCUUUUUUUUUUUAAAGUUUGUUAUUUUUAAACUAUCACUUAUGUACUAAUAGCAUGUAAAAAAAAGUCUCUUAAAUAAUGCUCCUUCCUUCCCCUUUAUUUAAUAAAAUUUCAUCUUGUUGGGGCAAGUUUAUGGAUGAGCAAAUUUGACCAUUGCACAGAAGCGGUUGGAGAUCUUUUUAAUCUGUACACACACACACACACACACA